rnacentral:rRNA from 1 species
AUUGAACGCUGGCGGCAGGCCUAACACAUGCAAGUCGAACGAAUGGCGGACGGGUGCGUCAUGUCUGGGAAACUUCCUGAUGGAGGGGGAUAACUACUGGAAACGGUAGCUAAUACCGCAUACCCUCGGAUGUGCCCAGCUGUGAUUGGCUAGUAGGUGGGGUAAAGGCUCACCUAGGCGACGAUCCCUAGCUGGUCUGAGAGGAUGACCAGCCACACGGGAACUGAGACACGGUCCAGACUCCGACGGGAGGCAGCAGUGGGGAAGAGUGCACAAUGGGCGAAAGCCUGAUGCAGCAAUGCCGCGCGGAUGAAGAAGGCCUUCGGGUUGUAAAGUACUUUCGGCGGGGAGGCGUUACCCGCAGAAGAAGCACCGGCUAACUCCGUGCCAGCAGCCGCGGUAAUUC